GUACUACUGAAGAGUCCCACAAUAGGACGAAACGGUCGUCCAAUGC
rnacentral:hammerhead_ribozyme from 1 species